rnacentral:rRNA from 1 species
AUUGAACGCUGGCGGCAGGCUUAACACAUGCAAGUCGAGCGGGGUGAUGGUGCUUGCACUAUCACUUAGCGGCGGACGGGUGAGUAAUGCUUAGGAAUCUGCCUAUUAGUGGGGGACAACAUCUCGAAGGGGAUGCUAAUACCGCAUACGUCCUACGGGAGAAAGCAGGGGAUCACUUGUGACCUUGCGCUAAUAGAUGAGCCUAGGUCGGAUUAGCUAGUUGGUGGGGUAAAGGCCUACCAAGGCGACGAUCUGUAGCGGGUCUGAGAGGAUGAUCCGCCACACUGGGACUGAGACACGGCCCAGACUCCUACGGGAGGCAGCAGUGGGGAAUAUUGGACAAUGGGGGGAACCCUGAUCCAGCCAUGCCGCGUGUGUGAAGAAGGCCUUAUGGUUGUAAAGCACUUUAAGCGAGGAGGAGGCUCUUUUGGUUAAUACCCAAGAUGAGUGGACGUUACUCGCAGAAUAAGCACCGGCUAACUCUGUGCCAGCCGCCGCAGUAA